rnacentral:rRNA from 1 species
GAUGAACGCUGGCGGCGUGCCUAAUACAUGCAAGUCGAGCGAACAGACGAGGAGCUUGCUCCUUUGACGUUAGCGGCGGACGGGUGAGUAACACGUGGGUAACCUACCUAUAAGACUGGGAUAACUUCGGGAAACCGGAGCUAAUACCGGAUAAAAUUUCGAACCGCAUGGUUCGAUAGUGAAAGAUGGUUUUGCUAUCACUUAUAGAUGGACCUGCGCCGUAUUAGCUAGUUGGUAAGGUAACGGCUUACCAAGGCAACGAUACGUAGCCGACCUGAGAGGGGGAUCGGCCACACUGGAACUGAGACACGGUCCAGACUCCUACGGGAGGCAGCAGUAGGGAAUCUUCCGCAAUGGGCGAAAGCCUGACGGAGCAACGCCGCGUGAGUGAUGAAGGUCUUCGGAUCGUAAAACUCUGUUAUUAGGGAAGAACAAACGUGUAAGUAACUGUGCACGUCUUGACGGUACCUAAUCAGAAAGCCACGGCUAACUACGUG